GGUAUCUAUAUUUAUAUCUCUUUCCCACGAAUUCACACCUUCUCUCUCCCACGAAUUCAUUAAAAUAAAAAAAAAUUCCAAAAUUUGUAACUCUUUUCAUCAACCUCUGCCACACAUUCUCUCCCCCACGAAUUCAUUAAAAUAAAAAAUUUCCAAAAUUUGAAACUCUCUUCUUCAACCUCUGCCGAGGAAAUUUCUUCGACAGUAAGAAACUUCUCCACCAAUCUGGGUAAAUUUCUUCAUUUUUUCCCCAAAAAACGCGAUAGGUUUGGGAAAUUUCCCUAACAAUGUCGAUGAAGUCCUCACAGGCCGCUGCCGCAGCAACAAUAGCUCAAAAGCCAUAGAGGCAGAAGCAACACGCAAUCGAGCCACACGAAAAAAUGAAUUGCAUAAAUCCUCUCAUUCUUAAUUUUGCUAUCCGAGCAAAUCGUGGCGACGGUGAAGAAGGCCGAAUCGUUCAAGCUUUAGUGCUUCGAGGUCGGAAAGCAUGUGGAGCGCGUGCGCCAGAUGCUUCACUCGCUCCCUCGCAAUCUCUCUCAUGCCCUAAGGUUGCUGCCGACGUUGAAGCUCGCCGCCGCGGAUCUUCAGCAGGGGUUAUGUGGACGAAAGUCUCAGAAGAUUAAUUUGUCAUCGCUCUGCCUCAAACUGUUUUAGGCGUAAAGAAAAAAUAAGAAGACUUAAUAUAAGAAGAUUUAAGUAAUCGAUGUUGGUGGAAUUCGCAGCAGGAAGAAAAAAUGGCAGUGACACCGCGUAUAGAGUUGGCGAAGAUGAGCGUGGAGCACCUGAGGUGGUUGAAAGAGUAGGUCAAUCUACUCCAAAACAGUCUCACCAACAUCCGCUCCACCAAUGCCCGCCUCGAGAUCGCCUCUGCCACCCUCCAUGACGUCUUCAUCCUCCCAAGCUAGGGAAGAAGAUGUUGGUGCCACUGAUGAUAUCGCUUACGUGAUGGGAAAGCUGGAUGAUGCGGAGAAGUUUUUGGUGAACCUCAGCAGCGGCUAUUUCAUUGAGAAAUUAAUGGUAGAAGGCAAAGAUUAUUGCGAGUGUAAAAUUGUUUUGCCUAAGUCGAAUUAUGACCAACUUCUUGAGGUGGCUGCAAAAAGAGAAGCAUAGCAGGGGCGAUUUUACAAGUAAAGUUGAAGCAUUCGGCCCCUCCCACAAUAGUUGUGUUUUGGAUAUAACAUCUUGGUACUCGCUAAAUUUGCAUAUGUUUUGCUUCAGUAACAAGAAAAGGAUUAUAGAGGAGCAGAGAGAGUUUUUUAAAUUCUUUCUCUUGAUCCACUGCACUAUGCUGAUGAAUAUCGAUGUUUGGGGAUGUUAGUUUGAGAUCGUGUUAUGCCAUUGAUAUGUAUAAUUCUCAAAAUUCCAAUUAAAAAUUAAAACAUUGUAAUUGAUGUCUCAUUUCAUAGUUGAUAUGUUCUCGCUUGAUGCUUCA